GUAAUAGUUAUGUUCUUGAAACCCAAAGAAUUUGGCGGUAUUUUAUUCCUUUUAGAGGAACCUGUCCUGUAAUUGACAAUCCACGAUGAAAAUGUACUUAUUUUUGUUAUUCAUUUUGUAUACCUCCGUCAUCAGAAUAUCUUUUUAGGGAAAAUUUUCUUGAUUUAUGAAUUAAAAUAUGUCAGGUCAAGGUGCAAUUUAUAAAUAAGUAGAGAUGGGUUACAAUAAAAUUAAUUAUACGGAUUAAUAUAUUUAUUUAUAUUAUGAAGGUGGAUUUAAAAGUAAAGUUAUCAUUCUUGUUAUCUUGACUUUGGCUCUAAAGUAUGCACACAUCGCCCG
rnacentral:rRNA from 1 species